rnacentral:rRNA from 1 species
AUUGAACGCUGGCGGCAGGCCUAACACAUGCAAGUCGAACGAGUGGCGGACGGGUGAGUAAUGUCUGGGAAACUGCCCGAUGGAGGGGGAUAACUACUGGAAACGGUAGCUAAUACCGCAUACCAUCGGAUGUGCCCAGAUGGGAUUAGCUAGUAGGUGGGGUAAAGGCUCACCUAGGCGACGAUCCCUAGCUGGUCUGAGAGGAUGAACAGCCACACUGGAACUGAGACACGGUCCAGACUCCGACGUGAGGCAGCAGUGGGGAAUAUUGCACAAUGGGCGCAAGCCUGAUGCAGCCAUGCCGCGUGUAUGAAGAAGGCCUUCGGGUUGUAAAGUACUUUCAGCGAGGAGGCGUUACCCGCAGAAGAAGCACCGGCUAACUCCGUGCCAGCCGCCGCGGUAAUUC